AGCAGGAUCAUUCUCGUAUUAUUCGUAAUCGAUUAUGAGCAUCCAGUCUAAUCCACUGGCAUGCCUAUAUCCUCUCGUUCCCUUUAUCUAUCUUUAAGAGAAAAGAGAAAGGAAGGACGUCUUUUGGGCACAAGAGAAGUCGCUCGGAUACGCUUGUUGUGCAAUGUUGCCGAGGUUUUGUUACCGUCUAUGGCCUUGCAUACAGCCUUCGAGUCGACAUUCUCUGUUGCUCUCUUGACUGACCGAAAUUCACUUUUCGGGGACGAUGAGAACAUCUUCUCUGGAGUCGCUGCUCUUUCGGGAGCGCUGGAUUCCGAGGAGGAAGGUCUCAAUCAGCUUGCUGGUUGGGGCCUAUGAAACUACACUGGACGAUGGAUAUCUCGGUUCGAAGCUCGAUGAAGGUCGCAGCAAAGUGCGAUAAGUGUCACGACUUGCAGACUCUAGUGAGCUGACCAAUUACUGAAUGCAAAUUGCGGCCAGUUAAGUCUGGCCAUGCAUUGCAGAGUGUUGUUGAUAUCGGUCAUUCGCCGAUGCCUUCUUUCUCGGAAGAAGGACAUUGUUCGCGGGACCACGUUGUUUAGUCUGGUGGAGUUAAUUCUCCGCCGACCGACGUGAAAAGAUAUCCACAUGUAGAACCUCACCUUUCGGGGUGGGUUUUCUUGUGCGAUUGGAGACACAAACUCACAAUCGACAGCCUCGUGCUCAGUCGUUUGAAGAAACCCUCUUCAACCUCUGCGAUGCAGGAGAACGCGCUGAACUUAAGCAUAUUACUAAGCGCAGGAAAGAAAACAACAGUGAUUUCCCUAGUAACGGCGAGUGAACAGGAAACAGCCCAAGAUUGAAUCCGUGGUGGAAGGAACCUGAAACCAUGGAAUUGUAGUGCCAGGGGAGUGAGGCAAGGGUCAAGUGGUGUGGUUGAAUGGUCUGAAAAGGCCAAUCCACAGAGGGUUAUCGUCCCAUACGUGCCACACGUCCUUGAUCUUUAACGCUUCAUUCUUCCAAGAGUCAUACAGUUUGGGAAUGCUGUGCAAAAUCGCUGGUGUGCUUCAGCGAAGGCUAAAUAUUGCUUCGAGACCGAUAGCGAACAAGUAGUGUGAACGAAAGAUGAAAAGAACUUUGAAAAGAGAGUGAAAAGUACUUGAAAUCGUCCAGUGCAAAGGGUAUGCCGAACUUGUCAUCCAGCCCUCUGGGUUGGUCUUGAUCGGACAGGUUGACCUCUCCGGUGGCCCGCCGAGCAUUCCAUCUAGGUGGCGUGUCAGCGAAGCCGAUACGGUGAGUGGGUCGACUGGUCUACGCCUUCUUCGCUCGGAUGUCGCAGUGUGUGGCAUGGAUGCGGGAGCAUCUGCUUCUUCGGAGGUGGUUCUCACGUGUUUGUGCUGCGCGCCACGAUGUUCGAAGCUCCGUUGGCUUCCGAUUUUUUUAACGAAGGUAUACCACCCGUCUUGAAACACGGACCAAGGAGUCCACCGAAUGUGCGAGUGUUAUGGUGUCAAACCAGAGCCCUUAGGGGGCGUUCGACGCGUAAUGAAAGUGACAUACAUGUGUGAUCCGUGACCUCGGUCGCGGUGCAACACAGCUCGAUCCUGAUUCUGUGUAAAAGGGAUUUGAAGUCAAGCACAUUCGCUGGGACCCGAAAGAUGGCGAGCUUUUCCCAGGCCGGUCGAAGCCAGGGGAAACCUUGGUGGAGGACCGAAUGCAGUACUGACGUGCAAAUCGUUUGCCAGAUCUGGGUAAAGGGGCGAAAGACUCAUCGAGCCAUCUAGUAGCUGGUUCCUAC
rnacentral:misc_RNA from 1 species